rnacentral:rRNA from 1 species
CUACGGAGGGUGCAAGCGUUACUCGGAAUCACUGGGCGUAAAGCGCGCGCAGGCGGCUAUUUAAGUUGGAUGUGAAAGCCUACGGCUCAACCGUAGAACUGCAUCCAAAACUAUUUAGCUAGAGUGUGGGAGAGGAAGAUGGAAUUAGUUGUGUAGGGGUAAAAUCCGUAGAGAUAACUAGGAAUACCAAAAGCGAAGGCAAUCUUCUGGAACACUACUGACGCUGAGGCGCGAAAGCGUGGAGAGCAAACGGGAUUAGAUACCCUAGUAGUCC